UACGUAGGGCGCGAGCGUUGUCCGGAAUUACUGGGCGUAAAGCGCACGUAGGCGGCUUUGUAAGUUAGAGGUGAAAGCCUGGAGCUCAACUCCAGAAUUGCCUUUAAGACUGCAUCGCUUGAAUCAUGGAGAGGCGGGUGGAAUUCCGAGUGUAGAGGUGAAAUUCGUAGAUAUUCGGAAGAACACCAGUGGCGAAGGCGGCCCGCUGGACAUGUAUUGACGCUGAGGUGCGAAAGCGUGGGGAGCAAACAGG
rnacentral:rRNA from 1 species